CUCCUGCUCGUGCCACAGAAGGAUCCACUGACCUGUCACCCGAGGCGUGGGAAAACGGAGACAACGCACGCUCCUCAUCUCUCUCCUCCUUAGCUGCACCACACAUCUCCUCACCCCAUACACAUACACCAGCGACCACACAGUUUAUCCAACGACAGAAACGAAAAGAGGGACGCUGCAAACGGAUGUCUUCGCCACCGGUAUCAAACCCGUCGUCCCAGCUGUCUGCCGCGGCCGGCGCUGCGACCAUCACUGCAGCCAAGAAGACAGAUGACGUCUCUGACCUCAUGGCGGCGAUUCAGAGCGUUCUGGUGGAGCAUAAUGUAAAGGAUGCCCGAUUCAUUCUCGAGCUACCAUCAACGCCCGCCGCUGCUUCCACUGUCGUGACUGCUGUCCAUGCUGACGCGCCGGGGACCUGGGGAGCGGGUAAUGCGUCAUCGGUGACUGCACCGGUCGACUCUUCUGCGCCGAGCACUGAAGGAGGCGUGACCACCGCUACUCUUCUGAUGGGGAUGCAGACCACCCCCGCUGCGGUCCCAACCCCUCCACCGGAGCAUCAGCGACCCCCACCUCGCGCUCGGUCUCCCUCAGAGCGGCAGCGAUCUCCAGCCUCGUAUCACUCCGAGUCUCUCCAGGGGCAUGCCCUUCCCGCGCCCUCCGCCUUGCAUUCAGGUUCUCCUCCGCUGAACGACAGCAUAAGCUCGCUGGGUGCCACUGCGCGCCCAGCGCCGGUGGCGGCCGUCGGCGAUGCGAGCGGAACGCAAAUGACACCGAGUGCGGCAGCGGAGGAAGGUCCCGUGAACACCAUCCUCGCACAGCCGCCGGCUCAGCCGCAUCCGCCACCUCCGAGAAGCGCUGUCGAUGCCAUCACCUCGGAUGGCUCUGCGGACGUUCUCACAGGCGAGGCCGCUGCAGAGAUCUGCCGCGUGUCGAAUCAGCUCGCGCAUGAUAUUGCGGUCGCCGAGGCUCAAAUGUCGCGGAAGGAAAUUCUGCAGAAAUUUGUAGGCCGUAGCGUCAUCCUCGAAGAUAGGCGGCAGCGUGAGGCGCAGCAGCUGGCUCAGGCGUCAACGAUGCCGUGGAACGGCAUCCCGCAUCCUGCAGUGCCGUUCAAGGCGGAUGCGGCUAGCGCGCAUACCAAAGCAUCUUCACAGCCUCGCCGCGGCAUUCCAACGGCCGCUACCAAGCCUCCUGUGCAGAAGCUCAGCGCCGACCCCACGAUCCCUAGUGGCUCCGUGGCGAGCGCUUUCUCGCCCGCCGUAUUAUCUCCUCCUCCACCGGAACCACAACAGCCGCAGCGUCGCAGCAUCGUGCGCCUAACCCCGCCAUCGAGAACCCCCGUCCACAGCGGUGGCAACGGCGCCCGCGGCUCCGUUCUGUCGGAUAGCAGCUCCCUACCCUCUCUCGUGUCGGCCAAGAAGUCCGCCGUACCUGGCAAGACGCCCGUCUUCAGCAUUCUCAACAAGGAUGGGAGCCGCCUGCUCGAUCAAGGCGGUGCCGCGAUGACGCUGCGGACGUCGUUGUCCGGGGCUCUAGCGAAGGCAGGAGGCGCAUGUGUAGCCGCGGCAGGGGCGGCCACGAAUGGCGGUGACGCGACAGAGGCGAGCCGGUCCAGCAGCAACAGCAACAGCAACAAUACUAGCAUCUCCCAUAUCCGUCAAUCACGCCCCAGCAGCGUUUCCCUCCUCGCCGACGACCGCGCGCCGCCGUCGCCGGUGCACGAGCCGCUGCUUGGUGUGGCGGCUGAGGAAGAGGCGAACCGGCAGCGCAGCAUACUCAUGCAAACCCAGCCCCGCUCCCCCACGCCGGAGCCCCAGCCGGUGGAGAGUGCCAUCAACAGGGAAGAUGGGGAGGUGCUGCGGAAGAUGCUGUCGGAACAGAGCAAGAACAACACACGUCGCGCCUUGCAGCUGCAGAACCAGUCACGCCUCUCGCACACGACACAGAUGGCGGCCACGCCGGUGAUCGGAAAGAACCAACCCAGCGCUUCCGGCACAUUUUCCACUGCAUCGACUCCGCGUUCGCCGUCUAGGCCGUCUACUUCGGCUGCCGCCGCGUCUUCUCAACCUUCUCUGCGUGCUAUGCUGCAGGAGCAGCGGCAGCUGCAAGACGCCAGUCGCCGCAGCAUGGAGGAGCACAAUCGACUUAUGCAAGCGGCUCGAGCUGCACGAACGCCGGCGUCCGCGUCGUCGAAUGCGUUCGAGACAUCUAAGAUACCAGCGGUGAGGCUCGCGACCCCGCCAGCGCACGCGACGCCGGCAGCGACCGGCGCCGCAGCUGCCGCACCGGUGACGGUGCAGGAGGACGACGCGGCGCACCGGAAGCGCGGCAUUGCCACCUUGGCACGAGCGUCGUCGCCGGGGCGCAACACGAACGGCACAUUCACGCCCAGCACCUCCGGUAUUCAAGUUGUGAAGUUCACGCUUCCCCACGAGGAGGAGGCGCGGCAGGCGGCGGUGCAGCAGCUGUGUCGCAGCUCCUCAGGGACGCAGCAUCUGGACACCAAGGACCGCUAUCGCGCCCUCCUGGCUGAGCAGCAGAACGAGUUCACUGCACAGGAGGCGAAGGCACAUGACUACAAGGUUCUACUGAACCGCGCUGUCGAGUUCAAUCGCUUCCAGCAGCAGCAACAAACCAAGCCGUCUUAGAGAGCCAACCAACCGGUGCCCGCCACAAUUUGUGCGGCUUGAUGGUUCGUCGAGGCGGUGGUGACGAUGCGCCUUCGCGCCCGCGCCGUCCCCACGGGGAGGGCUUAUGUACAUAACACCAACGUAAAACAUGUAUUUUUCUCUACCGCUCUUUGUGCAUAUGCUGAUGUACACAGACUGACAUGGGCGUGGCGGACUUCGAUGUAUAUGAAUAAGCGAAAAAAGGGAGGGCACCCCCACCCUUCAAAAGACUAGCAAGUACCGUUGAUUCGGUGUCGUUCUCACUGUGUGUAUGCGUGUGUGUGUGUCUCGUGCGCUGACGUCAGCCUCCGACACACCUCUACCUACCCCCUUUCCAGCCCCUUUCCCACCAGCAGUUUAUCCGUUGCCCAUGUACAUUGAGCAGACGAAUACACAGCAGGCAGAGAGCGAGGGAGAGGGAGCGGGAGGGAGCACACGGCGGCCAUGCCAGAUGUAUGUAUAUAUAUAUAUGUAUGUAUAGCUCUAUGCAGAUGUAUAUGUGCAUACAUAUCUAUAUAUAUAUAUAUGUAUAUCUGUAUCUAUGUAUACACACGCUUGUAAUCGGUGUUUAGUUGAUAUGGAAUGUAAUCCGAGAAGAAGCUCACGAGAAAGAGAGCUGGAGAAGGAACAGCAAGAGAAGAAGGACAGGCACACAGACAGAGACACAGACGCAGACGCAGACAGGGGUGAACGAAAACGAGCAAGGACAAGAACCGCAACACAGGCAACAAUAAGAUUGCUCCACUUCCCCCUACCUUUCCGUCCGUGUGUGUCUGGGUGUCUGUGCAUGCUUCUUGCUCCCUUCCUAUCCGAUCUCACUUCUGUGUUACGUUUCGCGUCGGGCUGCACUCUGUCUUUUCUUAUGAGUAUUCUUCACUCGUGCAUCUGCGCUCUUUCCCGUCCGCGCCUUUUUCUCUCAUCAUUAUGAUCUCGUCCUCUCGUCGCGCACACGUGUGCAAGCGAUAAGGAUACCGGACUCCCUCCUUCUCCCCCUCCCUCUCCUCGCCACGCUUCACGACUUGUUGCUGUUUGAAUCUGUGUUGCUUCCCCUCUUCUUUGUAUCUUUUUCUGUCUUGUGAUUUCACCUACCUUCGGAACGAUGCAGUGAUGUCGGCACGGCCGCUACACACAAGUACACAUACAUACAGACGCUGCUUCUCCUCCUCCUCUCCUCCGGGACGCGUCACGGUUUCGCGCUGAUCCUUCUUCGCACAGAGUACAUUCUCUCUUGUCUGUUUGAUUUGCCGCCACGCUGCGUACGUGCUCGACUGUAUCCCUUACAUCGCAUCUCCCCUCUCUCCCUCCCUCCCCCAAACUUCCUCGCUGCCAACCUCGCUCGGUUUCUCAAGUGGGGAAACGCUGCGGUUGUGAAAGGGGGAGAGGUAAGAGGGGAGACUAUGGGCGGCGGCGCGGGCAUAUGUGUUUUUGUGCACCUCUCUCUCGCUAUCUCUGCGAGCGUGUGUGCACGGAGGCUCGAUCGCCAUUCUUUUCCUUUGCGCUUCGCAUGUAAGCGGCAGUCGUUUUCUGCGUGAUGCUUGUGUGUGUGCGUGUAGCGAAGCUGUCCUUGAGGCGGGUCGAUGCUGGAACAUAUCUUCUC
rnacentral:misc_RNA from 1 species